GCGCUGGUAGUUUAGAGGUAGAAUAUCUGCCUUCCACGCAGAACCGAGGUUCCGCACCUCCGAGCAUU
rnacentral:tRNA from 1 species